rnacentral:piRNA from 1 species
UACAUUCAGAUCUGUUACCUUAUCGAUA